rnacentral:rRNA from 1 species
CUUUCAACAACGGAUCUCUUGGUUCUCGCAUCGAUGAAGAACGCAGCACUGAAGACCAUGCUCAGCAAGCUCCUCGGUGAAUGAUACAUUGAAUCAACAUUGAUUUCAUCACUCCCCACCCUGGAUCUCUUGGCUCUCGCAUCGAUGAAGAACGCAGCA